rnacentral:tRNA from 1 species
GGGAUUGUGGCUCAGUGGUAGAGCACUUGCUUAGCAUGUGUGAGGCACUGGGUUCGAUCCUCAGCACCA